AAUUUCCAGGAGCUUCUGGGUCGCGAUUCCCUCUUCAUACUCGGCCACCUCCAGUCCACCAGUAGCCGCCGCUCAUCUCCGAUCGCUGACCACCAUAGAGAAGAGAGUAUAGGGAAGGAAUUCUCAUGUUUAGUUGUGAUUAUCUCUUGAUUUCCUCCAUGAAUCCUCACCUCUCUCUCUGUCACUGAUUGUCUUCGCAGGCCACUUCCCCAGCACCACCAGCUUCGUAGCCACAGUAAGUGCUCUGUUCGCCCCUAAUUCACAUUCUCUGUUUCUGCUGAAGGUAGGGGCCGAGUGCUUGAUUACGCCUGCAUAAAAUCCGGUCGCGUUUGAGCCUCUGUGAUAAGUCUGGAUAUGACCUCUAUCUUGUUUCUGGAUCUAGAUCCUUUGGCCGAAAUGUCUACCACCUGUUUGAUAAAAUUCCUAUACUAGAUCAGUGCCUGUUUUGAUUCAGAUUCUGACGUAGGGCUUUCCAUUGCUUAAUCAAUUCAUUAUUUUUGUCGUAUAAAAUUUACUUUUGUUUUGUUUCCUCUCAUUUCCGAAUUUAGUAGCUAUACGUUUUGGGAUUUGUUCUUGGAAUUCUUGGAUUAGACGCAUAUCCAAUGUGUACGCAAGAUGAAUACUGACUACUCCAGAACUUGGCCGAGGGCCCCUUAAACGAAAAUGAAUUGAUCCAUGCACCUAAUACUUCACUACAUGUCGUUUUGUGUUUAUCGUGCCCAAUUGCAAACAUAUUAUGAAAAAAUGUUGCUGGUUAGCUCGCUGCACGUGUUGAAAUCGCAAGUGUGAGCGAAUGCUACCAUCUCGAAUACCAAGUGCAUGCUGUGAGAGCAUUGAGUUGCUGCUCUAGUCAUCGUAUGUGCAUUCAUUUGGGUGCGCUGUGUUACUGAUUGGUUCAUCAGCUGUAUGUCCAUUUCGAAUACGUUGAGUUGCUGAUGUGGUUACUGUGUUGUGUUCGUACCGAUGUGUAAAGUUAUGGGUUAUGUCUAUACUGUGUGUGCUUGCUAUUCGUAUGUUCUGGUAUGUGUAAUCAUGUGAUUGUGUUAUUGAUGUGCUGUUUGUUGAUGCUAAGUACUUGUUGUCCUGAUCUUCUCUUUCAUUUUUUUCUGUUCUAGUGGAGAGCAUUUCUUUCAUUACUGAAGUUGACUAACAUUAUUGGAGCAUCUAGUGUCGUGCUCAUGACCGAAGGAUUCAGAGUUAUAACAGCCCAGUAUGAGGAGACCAUUGUUCAAAUUCUUUUAGACUAUGUUUACUUCAUGAAAAAUAAAUGUUUUGAAUAAUAUUUCUUAAAAAUAAUUGCUUAUAUAGCCAAAAAUAAUUAGUUAACGAAAAAUAUUUACAAUAUCGACACUAAUUUAUAUCUAAAUAUUUUCGUGAACCAUCAUUUUUGUAAGCGAUACAAACAAUUAUUUUUGAUAGAAUGAUUUUCAAAUUAUUCAUUUUCCACGAAGCAAAAAUAAUCGCUUAUAUUUUUUACGAAAAUGAAUGAUAUUGUCCACAAAAAUAUUAGAAAAUUCAGAAAAAAAAUUUCAUGUCAGUGUCAUGUAGGACACAUGGCAUCCAUGUGACUGAUUAGCAAAUUGUUGAAAGAUUUAGAACUCAAUUGGUAUAAUUAAAAGAUUGAGAACUAAAUUGCCAUAAAUGUAAUAGGUUUAAGACUUUUUUGGUGCUUUCCCCUCAAAUAAUUGAUGUGGUAUGGAGCAAUUAAUGUAUCCUAGUUAGCUCAUAACUCAAUGGCUUAAGUUUUUAAACGAAUGUUGGUUCAACUAAAUAUGUUGACUGGCUCGGACUUUGGACAUUCCCUUAGCUAUCUUCCCAAGUAAAGCUCUCCCUUGGUGAUCUCCCUGGAUUAGCCUUCUGCUGCGCGAUCCCAAAUGUUGUUUAUCAAGUUCAAUUGGGCUACCUGACUGUGUGUUUGUAUAAGAACAAUUGCAGAUUAUAAUCAGAUAUUUUUCAGACACUAGGAACUUGGUCAAUACGUGUUUGCCCAACAACAGUUUCUCCAUGUGAUGCUUGUGUUGUUUGUGCUAGCCAGGAGUUUAAUUACGUGCUCAAACUGUUUUCCUUAUUUUCACAACCAAUAUUCCUUAAACCUAUACAGAAAUCCGAUGAUGCUUGCAGUGUUCUUCGAAGAUAACUUCCUUUGCAUUCCUCUCGGUCAACCCCUCACACAUUCACACGAGCACUCCGUUUUUGUUCUAUUCUAGCAUAUUCACAUAACACACGAACACAACUUCCUUUUCGUCUUUAUAUGAUUUGUCUGCAUGCGUCUGCUUCUUUAUUCUGCAUUUGCCCAUGCUUUUAGGAAGAGGAAUAUAACUCUUCUUUCAUCAAGGCAGGGGAUGGAAUGGAGGAAACCUGAAUAAGGGGGGAUUAAGCUUAACUCGGACAGAGCAAUUAAUGUCUGUAGAGAACGGAGAAGCAGAAACUUGAGCUCUUGUGGAAGACCAUCAGGGGAACUGGAUAGCCAGUUUUCCUCGAAACACAGGAAGAGCGAAUUCUUUUAUUGCUGAGAUUUGGACGUUAGGAGGCAAAAUUAGACCUAGUGUUUCGAAUAGUGCUCUUCAUUUCCAUAAUGAAUUAGAUGCUUUAGCAGUUAUUUAUGCUCUUAAGAACAAACAGUCUCGCAAUCUUCUCAUAGAACCUCUCCUUGUGGAGUGCAGGAACUUGCAAGGAAAGAAUGCAGGUAUGCUGUGAAUUGCGCAUAUAUACAGAGAAGCAAACGGAAGCACCGCAUGCUCUGGCUAGAUUGGGAAAGGAGCAGCAUAUGCAGCUUACUAUUUUCACUAGUAUUCCAGAUGUUAUCGAAGAUACUUCGUGUAAGGAUGCACUUCAUAGUAUUUCGAAUAUUUCGACUACGAGUGAUGUAAC
rnacentral:lncRNA from 1 species